rnacentral:misc_RNA from 1 species
CUUAAUGGACAAGCUCUCGCAUGGCUGACCCUUUUCCUACCUAAUGAAGCCCAUGAGCCAUAGAUUUCAGCCCUAGGUACCUCGUAGAUUUUUGUUGUGCUGGAUUUAUAACUUUACUAUUUAAACCAUAAGUUCUAGUUGAGAUGAACCUAAGCCUAUGUAUAAACCCAAUGUGUGUAUAGGCCUAAGUCCAUUUCAAAACCCGUGUUGAGCAAGAGGAUGCUUACUUAUGGU